UACGAAGGAGGCAAGCGUUGUUAGGAAUUACUGGGCGUAAAGCGUACGUAGGCGGACUCUUAAGUCAGAAGUGAAAGCACUGGGCUCAACCUGGGAACUGCCUUCGAUACUGUGAGGCUAGAGAUCGGAAGAGGUGAGUGGAAUUCCAGGUGUAGAGGUGAAAUGCGUAGAUAUUAGGAAGAACACCAGUGGCGAAGGGGGCUCACUGGUCCAAAUCUGACGCUGAGGUGCGAAAGCGUGGGGAGCAAACAGG
rnacentral:rRNA from 1 species